rnacentral:ncRNA from 1 species
GCGAAGAGGUUCCAGGAAAUAGCUCCACCGUAUAGACCGUACCCGAAACCGACACAGGUGGUCAGGUAGAGUAUACCAAGGCGCUUGAGAGAACUAUGUUGAAGGAACUCGGCAAAUUGCACGCGUAACUUCGGAAGAAGCGUGACCCCAUUUUAGGCAACUAUGAUGGGGUGGCACAGACCAGGGGGUAGCGACUGUUUAUCAAAAACACAGGGCUCUGCGAAGUAGCAAUACGACGUAUAGGGUCUGACGCCUGCCCGGUGCUGGAAGGUUAAAGGGAGGGGUGCAAGCUCUGAACUGAAGCCCCAGUAAACGGCGGCCGUAACUAUAACGGUCCUAAGGUAGCGAAAUUCCUUGUCGGGUAAGUUCCGACCUGCACGAAUGGCGUAACGACUUCCCAACUGUCUCAACCGCGAACUCGGCGAAAUUGCAUUACGAGUAAAGAUGCUCGUUACGCGCAGCAGGACGGAAAGACCCCGUGACCUUUACUACAGCUUGGUAUUGGUGUUCGGUGUGGCUUGUGUAGGAUAGGUGGGAGACUUUGAAGCAUGGACGCUAGUUCGUGUGGAGUCAUUGUUGAAAUACCACUCUGGUCACUCUGGAUAUCUAACUUCGAACCGUAAUCCGGUUCAGGGACAGUGCCUGGUGGGUAGUUUAACUGGGGCGGUUGCCUCCCAAAAAGUAACGGAGGCGCCCAAAGGUUCCCUCAGCCUGGUUGGCAAUCAGGGGUCGAGGG